GAUGAACGCUAGCGGCAGGCCUAACACAUGCAAGUCGAGGGGCAGCACGGAAUGUAGCUUGCUACAUCUGGUGGCGACCGGCGCACGGGUGCGUAACGCGUAUGCAACCUACCUUGAACAGGGGGAUAAUUCGGAGAAAUCUGGUCUAAUACCCCAUGAUAUCGGAAUAGGCGUCUAUUCUGGUUAAAAACUCCGGUGGUUCAAGAUGGGCA
rnacentral:rRNA from 1 species